CAAAAGCAAGCAAAAAUCCUUUGCUCAGGAGGGAGGGGAAGCAGCCAGGGCUGCAGCCAGGAUUUUUAGUGGUAGCAAUAGUUACCGGGGAUACCCAGCCAGCAAUGAGGAGGCGACGGUGAGAAGCAAAGCCUAGCUUUGCCGGGAGCAUUUGGAGCUGCUACUGCGGCAGCAGCAGUGAUGGGAAGGCCCUGUUGUCGGCAAUGCAAGUCAUCGAUCUACCGGGAGAUUCCCUAACACAGCAAGAGGACGGAACAGCAAGGGGUCCUGGCCACAAAGAAAAUCAGAAGUCAGCAGAAUGCAUUUUGAAAAAGCUUUGAAACAUAGGAUGAAGAGAAGAGAAAUAAUAUAAAAAGAGAACUCACAGCAUGUCCUACCGCUGUGAGUGCAAGAAGAACAAGGAAGAGCAGAAGGAGAAAGAGUUAAAAGAACAACAGCAGCAAAUGCAACAAGCAGUAAUGUCCUGAUUUGCUGGCAAGCAGAUGGUGCUUCGCAAAACAACUCACUGGCCCCCUCUACUGACGGAAAGCAGAGGUUAUAGCAUUGUACUAAAAAGCAUGGAUGUGCACACAGAAUGCUAUUUGCACUGUGUUCCGAGAACGCAAAUAUCUGGAACGUUCCACUGGAACAACCGGUCGAGCUCAAAACAUUCUGAACAUCGCUACUAAAUAAAUUUGU